rnacentral:rRNA from 1 species
AUGAUAAGAUACCGCGGAAUGUCAUGUGGUGGGCCUUGGAGAAACACAAAAGUCCCAGCAAAGUACAUUACCCUCAUCAAGGACAUGUACGAUAAUGUUGUGACAAGUGUUCGAACAAGUGAUGUCGACACUGAUGACUUCCCGUUUAAGAUAGGACUGCAUCAGGGGUCAGCUUUGAGCCCUUAUCUUUUUGCAUUGGUGAUGGAUGAGGUCACAAGGGAUAUACAAGGAGAUAUCCCAUGGUGUAUACUCUUUGCGGAUGAUGUGGUGCUAGUUGACGAUAGUCGGACGGGGGUAAAUAGGAAGUUAGAGUUAUGGAGACAAACCUUGGAAUCGAAAGGGUUUAGGCUUAGUAGAACUGAAAACGAGUACAUGAUGUGCGGUUUCAGUACUAUUAGGUGUGAGGAGGAGGUUAGCCUUGAUGGCCAGGUGGUACCUCAGAAGGACAGCUUUCGGUAUUUGGGGUCAAUGCUGCAGGAGGAUAGGGGUAUUGAUGAAGAUGUGAACCAUCGAAUCAAAGUCGGAUGGAUGAAGUGGCGCCAAGCUUCUGGCAUUCUCUGUGACAAGAGAGUGCCACAAAAGCUAAAAGGCAAGUUCUACAGGACGGCGGUUCGACCCGCAAUGUUGUAUGGCGCUGAGUGUUGGCCGACUAAAAGGCGACAUGUUCAACAGUUAGGUCUGGCGGAGAUGCGUAUGUUGAGAUGGAUGUGUGGCCACACGAGGAAGGAUCGAGUCCGGAAUGAUAAUAUACGAGAUAGAGUUGGGGUAGCACCAAUUGAAGAGAAGCUUGUCCAACAUCGUCUGAGAUGGUUUGGGCAUAUUCAGCGCAGGCCUCCAGAAGCUCCGGUGCAUAGUGGACGGCUAAAGCGUGCGGAGAAUGUCAAGAGAGGGCGGGGUAGACCGAAUUUGACAUGGGAGGAGUCCGUUAAGAGAGACCUGAAGGAUUGGAGUAUCACCAAAGAGCUAGCUAUGGACAGG